UAACGCGUGGAUAACCUGCCCCAUACCGGGGGAUAACAGUUAGAAAUGACUGCUAAUACCGCAUAAGCGCACGGAGCCGCAUGGCGCAGUGUGAAAAACUCCGGUGGUAUGGGAUGGAUCCGCGUCUGAUUAGCUAGUUGGCGGGGUAACGGCCCACCAAGGCAGCGAUCAGUAGCCGACCUGAGAGGGUGGCCGGCCACAUUGGGACUGAGACACGGCCCAAACUCCUACGGGAGGCAGCAGUGGGGAAUAUUGCACAAUGGGGGAAACCCUGAUGCAGCAACGCCGCGUGAGUGAAGAAGUAUUUCGGUAUGUAAAGCUCUAUCAGCAGGGAAGAAGAAGGACGGUACCUGACUAAGAAGCCCCGGCUAACUACGUGCCAGCAGCCGCGGUAAUACGUAGGGGGCGAGCGUUAUCCGGAUUUACUGGGUGUAAAGGGAGCGUAGACGGUUAAUCAAGUCUGAAGUGAAAGCCCGCGGCUCAACUGCGGAACGGCUUUGGAAACUGAGUAACUGGAGUGCUGGAGGGGCAGGCGGAAUUCCUGGUGUAGCGGUGAAAUGCGUAGAUAUCAGGAGGAACACCGGUGGCGAAGGCGGCCUGCUGGACAGUAACUGACGUUGAGGCUCGAAAGCGUGGGGAGCAAACAGGAUUAGAUACCCUGGUAGUCCACGCGGUAAACGAUGAAUGCUAGGUGU
rnacentral:rRNA from 1 species